UACGAAGGGGGCUAGCGUUGCUCGGAAUCACUGGGCGUAAAGGGUGCGUAGGUGGAUAUCUAAGUCAGGGGUGAAAUCCUGGAGCUCAACUCCAGAACUGCCUUUGAUACUGGGUAUCUUGAGUUCGGGAGAGGUAAGUGGAACUGCGAGUGUAGAGGUGAAAUUCGUAGAUAUUCGCAAGAACACCAGUGGCGAAGGCGGCUUACUGGCCCGAUACUGACACUGAGGCACGAAAGCGUGGGGAGCAAACAGGG
rnacentral:rRNA from 1 species